UUUUAGAAUGGAAUUUAUGAAAUAAAUCAACUUUUUGAUGAUAUUCUACUUAUAUGACCAGCACCUGUAUGUUAAUGUUAACAAAUUAAUUGACUAAGGUUUACAUAUCUGUGAUGCAGCUGUCCUAUGAUCUGACAUGGCAAAAGCUGAAAGAGAAGUUCAGUCACUGUGGACAGGUAAUGUUCGCAGAGAUCAAGAUGGAGAACGGAAAGUCAAAGGGCUGUGGAACAGUGAGAUUCGACUCUCCAGAGAGUGCUGAAAAGGCCUGUAGGAUGAUGAAUGGAACAAAGAUCAACGGCCGAGAGGUGGACGUCCGUAUUGAUCGCAACGCCUAGAGCUUUUGUAGAAGUUAUGCUAACACACUUCCACAUUCAGCCCUCUUGCCAAUGACCUUUUGUUUUGUUUUAAAAACACAAUUACUUCAUA